rnacentral:rRNA from 1 species
CUCUGUGACUCCUACGGGAGGCAGCAGUGGGGAAUAUUGCACAAUGGGCGCAAGCCUGAUGCAGCCAUGCCGCGUGUGUGAAGAAGGCCUUCGGGUUGUAAAGCAUUCAGUUGUGAGGAAGGUGGUGUCGUUAAUAGCGGCAUCAUUUGACGUUAGCAACAGAAGAAGCACCGGCUAACUCCGUGCCAGCAGCCGCGGUAAUACGGAGGGUGCGAGCGUUAAUCGGAAUUACUGGGCGUAAAGCGCAUGCAGGUGGUUUGUUAAGUCAGAUGUGAAAGCCCGGGGCUCAACCUCGGAACUGCAUUUGAAACUGGCAGACUAGAGUACUGUAGAGGGGGUAGAAUUUCAGGUGUAGCGGUGAAAUGCGUAGAGAUCUGAAGGAAUACCGGUGGCGAAGGCGGCCCCCUGGACAGAUACUGACACUCAGAUGCGAAAGCGUGGGGAGCAAACAGGAUUAGAUACCCUGGUAG